GCAGGCAUAGCUCAAAUUUGUAAUCUGGCGCCUUUGGCGUCCGAGUUGUAUUUUCUAGAAGCGAGUUCGGCGACAGCUCCUACCCAAGUCCGUUGGAACGCGGCGUCAUGGAGGGUGAGAAUCCCGUGAAUGGUAGGAUGUCUGCUGCUAUGUGAACCGCCUUCGAAGAGUCGAGUUGUUUGGGAAUGCAGCUCUAAAUGGGAGGUAAAUUUCUUCUAAAGCUAAAUAUUGGCCAGAGACCGAUAGCGAACAAGUAGAGUGAUCGAAAGAUGAAAAGAACUUUGAAAAGAGAGUUAAACAGUACGUGAAAUUGUUGAAAGGGAAGCGCUUGAGAUCAGACUUCCUGUCUGGACUGUCCUUGCUUUUGCUUGGGUCAACAGUCCAGGCGUGGAGGCCAGCAUCAGUUUUGACGGCCGGAUAAAGGCCCUGGGAAGGUAGCUCCCCUCGGGGAGUGUUAUAGCCCAGGGUGUAAUACGGCCAGUUGGACUGAGGACCG
rnacentral:rRNA from 1 species